GACGAACGCUGGCGGCGUGGAUUAGGCAUGCAAGUCGGACGGUAGAGCUUUAUCGUAAGAUAGAGUUUGAGAGUGGCGAACGGGUGAGUAACACGUAGGAAUCUACCCUUAAGACGGGGACAACCCAGGGAAACUUGGGCUAAUACCGGAUGAGAGUGCGAGAGAUUGCAUUUAAAAGGAUGGCGAAAGUUGUCGCUUAGGGAUGAGCCUGCGGUCUAUUAGUUAGUUGGUGAGGUAAGAGCUCACCAAGGCGAUGAUAGAUAGGCGGCCUUAACGGGUGGUCGCCCACACUGGGAUUGAGAUACGGCCCAGACUCCUACGGGAGGCAGCAGUGGGGAAUAUUGGACAAUGGGCGAAAGCCUGAUCCAGCAACGCCGCGUGAGGGAUGACGGCCUUCGGGUUGUAAACCUCUUUCAGUAGGGACGAAGCGCAAGUGACGGUACCUACAGAAGAAGCACCGGCCAACUACGUG
rnacentral:rRNA from 1 species